UGUGACCAUGCCGCCCUAAAUGUGUCCCGUCUUGUCUGAUCUUGGAAGCUAAGCAGAGUUGGGCCUGGUUAGUACUUGGAUGGGAGACUGUCUGGGAAUACACUGGCAGGGAUGAUAA
rnacentral:rRNA from 1 species